GGUUAUUUAGCUCAGUAGGUAGAGCGCUUCCGUCAUAAGGAAUUUGUCACUGGUUCGAGCCCAGUAAUAACCACCA
rnacentral:tRNA from 1 species